AUUUAAGUAGUUUAAAAAAAAUUUUGAUUUGUGGUGUCAAAGAUAUGGAUAUAAAUCAUCUUAAGUU
rnacentral:tRNA from 1 species